UUAGAAAUAAUAUAAGAGGGAAAUAGGAGAAAUAAAAGGGAAUUUGACGGUCGGGAAGUAAGACCUUUUCAUAAUAAACAUGGUGAAAUAUGGUGAUGCACCCCAUCGUAUUUCGGUCAACUCACGAUCUCCUGUCCCGGUAGUUAUUUAUUGCGUGAACACAUGAAAAUGUCUGGCAAUCAACUGAUGUCCGAAACAACCAAAAGUUAAACAUUCUUUCUCCCUGGGAGAAGGAGCGGGAGAAAGGUCACGUUGGGGUCACAGCUAUUUAAGAGGGUCUCCAGCUAUGAUCCGGGCCUUCGUCAGUAGUUCGCCGUCAUUACCCGCCUCGUUACAACCCUUCAGUAGUAAACCGUCUUCUUUAGUAGAUCCUGCCCGUGAUCCCUGCAACUUCGAGUUCUACACUUUUCCCUUCGAGUCCUCCUCGAUCCUAUUUCUACCGUACUCUACGUUCGCCUUCCGACAUCUUUCCGAGCCAUCUUGUACCGUGUUUGUGUGUGUGUGUGCACGUCU
rnacentral:lncRNA from 1 species